rnacentral:rRNA from 1 species
CGCGGUAAUUCCAGCUCCAGUAGUCUGCGUUAAAGUUGUUGCGUUUAAAACGCUCGUAGUUGGAUAACGCAGUCGCAAAGGGUAAUCUGUAAGCUUGCUAAGUAGCUGUCGGUGGAAACUUGCGCUGCAGUUGUUUCACUCUUCAAUGAGCGAAAUAGCUGGGUGUAGGUACUGCUGGCAGUGGGUAGGCUGCAGAUAUUAACGCCUUGUUGUGACUAUUUGCGCGUGAGUGUGAUGGUUGACCUUAAGUGUGUUGAGUAUCAUGUCUCACGGAGUGUGCCUUGAAUAAAUCAGAGUGCUCAAAACAAGCAAUUGCUUGAAUGUGAUAGCAUGGAACGAACAAACGUGUGUAAGUGCGUACAUUGUUGUUGGAGUGGGUUUAUGACUUGUUCUGCGACGUGUACGUGCAGCACCUACCUUAAUACGGAUGUUGGUUUCUGUAUACGGUGACGAUUAAAAGGAGCGGUUGGGGGCAUUGGUAUUUGGCCGCGAGAGGUGAAAUUCUUAGACCGGCCAAGGACUAACAAAUGCGAAGGCACUUGUCUAGACCGUUUCCAUUAAUCAAGAACGAAAGUGGGAGGUUCGAAAACGAUUAGAUACCGUUCUAGUUCCCACCGUAAACUAUGCCGACCUGGGAUCAGCCUGUGAGAUAUUACAAGCUAAAGGUUGGUCCCCCUGGGAAACCUAAAGUUUUUCGGUUACGGGGAGAGUAUGGUCGCAAGGCUGAAACUUAAAGGAAUUGACGGAAGGGCACCACCAGGGGUGGAGCCUGCGGCUUAAUUUGACUCAACACGGGAAAACUUACCUGGU